rnacentral:lncRNA from 1 species
UGUCUGAUUAAUUCACUUGUUUGUAAAUUUUCAGGACUAUGUAUUAAUGAGAAAGAGGAGUCAUAACGAAUAAAGUUGUGUUCUUUCUUAUUCAAUAUUUUUUUGGGGUUGUGUAACGACCCAGCCCACUAACAACAAUAACUCGUUGGGCCCAACAACCGGCCCAAAAUGCUUAAGCCCAGUUAUUAUUACCAGUGUCUAAGUCUCAUAUAAACCCAAUGACAACCCCAUUCCCAUCCGAUGUGGGACUAUUGGGGUGUCACACGACUCCCCCGUUAAGGCCUGACGUCCUCUGUCAGUCCUCACAUACACAGCCCAAGAUCACCAGGCUAUGUGAGACUGCGUCUCGCUAGCCCGUCAUCCAGAUCCUGACUCAGCAGAGACUCGC